AGCAAAGUAAGCUAAUCCAAGCUACCGGGCCCAUACCCCGUCUUAUGUAGGUUAAAGUCCUACCUUUGCUU
rnacentral:tRNA from 1 species